GUGCUUACAUAAGCAGCACAUUUGGUAAAAUUGAAAGAUACAUAGAAGAUGGGCAAGGCCCCUGCACAAGGAUGACAUGCAAAUUUGUGAAGUGUUCUAUAUUUUU